rnacentral:sRNA from 1 species
GUAUGUGUGCAUGUGUUUGUAUGUGUGUGUGUAUGUAUGAGCUUGUUGUAUUCAUAUACAGGCGCACUAGCCUAUUCAUGCCCAUGGUAGAGACUAAAAGGUGUCUUCCUCUACCCCUUUCCACCUUAUCUUUUUCACAAGGUCUUUUGCUAAACUAGAGCUCACAGUGUUAGACACACUGACCAGUCUCUCUCCAGAGCCCACUGUGCUUCGAUGAAUGUGCUGCCAUCUCCAGCUUUCAUCCGGUUCUCUCCAGGGCCUCAUUAGCAUUCUCGUCAUCUGCCAAAGUCGGCUCUUCCUUGGCAAGAACAAAGCAGAACCUUCAUCUUAUCUGCAGGAGAACACCAGGGUUCAGUUUCCUCUGUUCACUUGAUGCUGAGAAGAGCCUCAGUCCAGGGCACUGUGCCAGCUUGUGCUAAAAACCAGCCUAGGAGCUUCGAGCAGCAACCUGAGCGGCCUGUGGAGCCAGGCUGCAUUCCCAGCUGCAAACAGCCCUGCAAAAUGACUCCGAGGAGGAGGUUGGAGAAAGGAGUGCACCGUGACCAGAUUAGCAACUGUGGGUAUUCACCUGAGCAAAAGGUCAGGAUUCAAAGAUGGAGGACCUCUGCCUUCUAGUAGUCAGAACACUGUGUUUUUCUCAUCUGUAGGGUGGGAAGCCCAUUAAGCUCUCUCUUUUCUCACAACACAGGGCUGUUGUGAGGAUGGUGAUGAAGUAAACAGGGCUGUGGUAAGCAGAGCAUCCUGAAGUAGAGACAUGUAUGCCUCACCUUGAGCCAGCUGAGAAGCAGAGAAGGGAAAACAGGAAGGGACCAGGCCAAGAUGUAAGGCCACGCCCCCACGGGCCUGCUUCCUCUUAUCAGCCCUCACUUCCUGCCUUUUGCGGUCACCGAAUACUGCUGCCACAUUGUGACUCCAUAAGGAGUGAAAUAGCGUCUCGUCUCGGCCUUUUAGCUAAGAUCAUGUGUAACAUCAGGAGUGAAUCCAUUGAUUGGGUCAGGAUCCCCAGGAUCCGGUCACUUCCCCAAAGUCCCUAGUCAUUUUUCUAUUGCUGUAAUAAAACGCCCUAACCAAAGAAGACGUUUAAUUUUUCUUAGUUCCAGAGAAUGAGAGAGGCUACAGUGAGGGAGCAGAAGAGCUGAGAAUUCAAAUCUCGAUCCACAAGCAGGAGGCAGAAAGUGCACUGGAGCGUCAAAGCCCUCGGCAGCAGCACUUUCCCAACAAACCCGUACC